CAGGCCUAACACAUGCAAGUCGAGCGGAAACGAGUUAUCUGAACCUUCGGGGAACGAUAACGGCGUCGAGCGGCGGACGGGUGAGUAAUGCCUAGGAAAUUGCCCUGAUGUGGGGGAUAACCAUUGGAAACGAUGGCUAAUACCGCAUGAUGCCUACGGGCCAAAGAGGGGGACCUUCGGGCCUCUCGCGUCAGGAUAUGCCUAGGUGGGAUUAGCUAGUUGGUGAGGUAAGGGCUCACCAAGGCGACGAUCCCUAGCUGGUCUGAGAGGAUGAUCAGCCACACUGGAACUGAGACACGGUCCAGACUCCUACGGGAGGCAGCAGUGGGGAAUAUUGCACAAUGGGCGCAAGCCUGAUGCAGCCAUGCCGCGUGUGUGAAGAAGGCCUUCGGGUUGUAAAGCACUUUCAGUCGUGAGGAAGGUAGUGUAGUUAAUAGCUGCAUUAUUUGACGUUAGCGACAGAAGAAGCACCGGCUAACUCCGUGCCAGCAGCCGCGGUAAUACGGAGGGUGCGAGCGUUAAUCGGAAUUACUGGGCGUAAAGCGCAUGCAGGUGGUUUGUUAAGUCAGAUGUGAAAGCCCGGGGCUCAACCUCGGAAUAGCAUUUGAAACUGGCAGACUAGAGUACUGUAGAGGGGGGUAGAAUUUCAGGUGUAGCGGUGAAAUGCGUAGAGAUCUGAAGGAAUACCGGUGGCGAAGGCGGCCCCCUGGACAGAUACUGACACUCAGAUGCGAAAGCGUGGGGAGCAAACAGGAUUAGAUACCCUGGUAGUCCACGCCGUAAACGAUGUCUACUUGGAGGUUGUGGCCUUGAGCCGUGGCUUUCGGAGCUAACGCGUUAAGUAGACCGCCUGGGGAGUACGGUCGCAAGAUUAAAACUCAAAUGAAUUGACGGGGGCCCGCACAAGCGGUGGAGCAUGUGGUUUAAUUCGAUGCAACGCGAAGAACCUUACCUACUCUUGACAUCCAGAGAACUUUCCAGAGAUGGAUUGGUGCCUUCGGGAACUCUGAGACAGGUGCUGCAUGGCUGUCGUCAGCUCGUGUUGUGAAAUGUUGGGUUAAGUCCCGCAACGAGCGCAACCCUUAUCCUUGUUUGCCAGCGAGUAAUGUCGGGAACUCCAGGGAGACUGCCGGUGAUAAACCGGAGGAAGGUGGGGACGACGUCAAGUCAUCAUGGCCCUUACGAGUAGGGCUACACACGUGCUACAAUGGCGCAUACAGAGGGCGGCCAACUUGCGAAAGUGAGCGAAUCCCAAAAAGUGCGUCGUAGUCCGGAUUGGAGUCUGCAACUCGACUCCAUGAAGUCGGAAUCGCUAGUAAUCGUGGAUCAGAAUGCCACGGUGAAUACGUUCCCGGGCCUUGUACACACCGCCCGUCACACCAUGGGAGUGGGCUGCAAAAGAAGUAGGUAGUUUAACCUUCGGGGGGACGCUUACCAC
rnacentral:rRNA from 1 species